rnacentral:misc_RNA from 1 species
GGCAGGAACGUGGUCGA